rnacentral:lncRNA from 1 species
GUCGCCAAUUCGCUAACUGUGUAGAUACUAGUACUAAAAUUAUUACCACCAUCCCUACAACGGUACCUAAGUCUUCAGAAAAUAAGACAACACCACAGAACAAAUCCAUUACACUACAAAUCAUGAUUGUAUAGGUAAAACAUCAAGAAGCUGUUUAAUCUGUAUCACAACGAAGGGCCGAUUUGUUAAAAUGCCAGAAAAGGCCAUAUAACAUAUGUUAGUAACACAAGGUAUUCUAUUGCCAGCUGAUGUAAGAUGUUCUCCGGUUAAUAUAUAUAUUAUCUUAUCUUAUAGACGAUAAAACAUUAAAAGACCAGGACAAAUACUGAUAUACAUAUAUUCAGAAUGAGAAAAACA